GGGCCGUUAGCUCAGCGGUAGAGCGCCUCUUUGACGUGGAGGAUGUCGGAGAUUCGAUCUCUCCACGGCCCACCA
rnacentral:tRNA from 4 species